rnacentral:rRNA from 1 species
UACGUAGGGUGCAGGCGUUAAUCGGAAUUACUGGGCGUAAAGCGUGCGCAGGCGGUUUUGUAAGUCUGACGUGAAAUCCCCGGGCUUAACCUGGGAAUUGCGUUGGAGACUGCAAGGCUAGAAUCUGGCAGAGGGGGGUAGAAUUCCACGUGUAGCAGUGAAAUGCGUAGAGAUGUGGAGGAACACCGAUGGCGAAGGCAGCCCCCUGGGUCAAGAUUGACGCUCAUGCACGAA